UGGGGAAUAUUGGACAAUGGGCGAAAGCCUGAUCCAGCCAUGCCGCGUGUGUGAAGAAGGUCUUCGGAUUGUAAAGCACUUUAAGUUGGGAGGAAGGGCAGUAAGCGAAUACCUUGCUGUUUUGACGUUACCGACAGAAUAAGCACCGGCUAACUCUGUUCCAGCAGCCGCGGUAUUACAGAGGGUGCAAGCGUUAAUCGGACUUACUGGGCGUAAAGCGCGCGUAGGUGGUUCGUUAAGUUGAAUGUGAAAGCCCCGGGCUCAACCUGGGAACUGAAUCCAAAGCUGGCGAGCUGGAGUGGGGCAGAGGGUGGUGGAAUUUCCUGUGUAGCGGUGAAAUGCGUAGAUAUAGGAAGGAACACCAGUGGCGGAGGCGACCACCUGAGCUCAUACUGACACUGAGGUGCGAAAGCGUGGGGAGCAAACAGG
rnacentral:rRNA from 1 species